CCGAACCCGGAAUAUCAAGAAAGCACUUGCUGAGAGUUCGACUGAACCUAACUUGUAAGUUCGAGGAGAUAUAAAAACGGUUAUAAACGACAAUGAACAGCAAGAAUAUAAGGACUGACUUGAUAAGUUACAAUUAAAGAGAUAGGCAAAGGGCAAAGGCGAAUUCAAAUGCUUUGGGAGUAUCUUUUAGUCUGUCAUGCACCUUCACCUGAAAAUUCGUGAGACUGUUGCAGUCAAGAGGGAAACAAAAAAAAACCGCGCACACAUGUCUCCGGACAUGGGGAGGGACAACGGGACAAGGACAACAAUGCAGUUGCACAGUAGGGCUCCAUAUGCUUCUUUGAUUAUCGGCUGAAAUCUGAACGAGGCUGAAUUAAGGGACAGCUGCGGAAUCAGAUCCGGAAAUACGGCACAUAUCAAGUUCAGCGGAAAUGUUUUUU
rnacentral:sRNA from 1 species